CUUUAUGCCGGGCGACCGGCGGACGGGUGCGUAACGCGUAUGUAACCUACCUUUGACAGGGGGAUAACAUCGAGAAAUUCGGUAUAAUACCCCAUAACAUCACCGGAGGCAUCUUCGGUGGUUGAAAACUCAGGUGGUCGGAGAUGGACAUGCGUUGUAUUAGCUAGUUGGUGAGGUAACGGCUCACCAAGGCGACGAUACAUAGGGGGACUGAGAGGUCAACCCCCCACAUUGGUACUGAGACACGGACCAAACUCCUACGGAAGGCAGCAG
rnacentral:rRNA from 1 species